rnacentral:lncRNA from 1 species
UUGCGUUGUGAUUCAUCGGUAUAGUUAGAUCCUAAACUGGUUCCAUGCUAUAGCACAUAGUGAUGUCUGUUUUAUGUAUAUGUAAGCAUACUCGUGUAAGCGUAAUCAUGUAAAAGUAUAUGAACGUAUGCCUUUGCUACCCAAAGGUACUGAACUGACUAAAAGGAACUAUUAUGUCCAUAUAUGUACACAUGAUAUAUAACUAAUGUUUAAACGACCUUCGGACGGGUACCCGAUAUCCCACCAGACCACAUCUCAAGCGCGAAAAGGAAAUAGGGUGGAUAGCCUUCCUAAGUCCUUUAAACAUUGCUUAUAUAAUUAUACAUAUAUAGGCAUGCUUAUAAUAGGAUCUCUAUGUAAACGUAUCAAUGUAAAUGUAAAGUAAUGUACUGUAAUGUUCUGCGUGUGCUAGCUGUAAUGUGUGUUCUUUCUCUAUCUAGCAAGUAUUGACUCAUGAAUGAACUGACUCAUUGUAUGAUAUCGCGUUCUAGUAAUAGUUCUAGUAAUAGUUCUAAUAUCUUCCUAAACUACCCAUAUGGUAGCUUACUAGUAAUAUAACUGGUACGUAUGAACAUGGAUGUAUACCCUUGCUAUCCAAGGGCAUUGGAUGAACUGGAAAGACCUUUUAUGACUAUAUAUGUACACAUGAUAUAUAACUAAUAUUUAAACGACCUUCGGACGGGUACCCGAUAUCCCACCAGACCACAUCUCAAGCGCGAAAAGGAAAUAGGGUGGAUAGCCUUCCUAAGUCUUUU